CCCCUCUCAGAGUCGCACCUGUAGAGUUUCCAGUACUCUACCAGUCUUGACUACAGGAGGGAGAGUCAAGCAGAGGCAUAUCCAUUUCAUUCCUAGCUUGCGGCAGUGGCUAAUGAGUGGAAGACAAUCUGCUACAAGU